rnacentral:rRNA from 1 species
ACGGGGGAGGAACACGUGCUUAACCUGCCCUUAAGUGGGGGAUAACAUUUGGAAACAGAUGCUAAUACCGCAUAGAUCCAAGAACCGCAUGGUUCUUGGCUGAAAGAUGGCGUAAGCUAUCGCUUUUGGAUGGACCCGCGGCGUAUUAGCUAGUUGGUGAGGUAAUGGCUCACCAAGGCGAUGAUACGUAGCCGAACUGAGAGGUUGAUCGGCCACAUUGGGACUGAGACACGGCCCAAACUCCUACGGGAGGCAGCAGUAGGGAAUCUUCCACAAUGGACGCAAGUCUGAUGGAGCAACACCGCGUGAGUGAAGAAGGCUUUCGGGUCGUAAAACUCUGUUGUUGGAGAAGAAUGGUCGGCAGAGUAACUGUUGUCGGCGUGACGGUAUCCAACCAGAAAGCCACGGCUAACUACGUGCCAGCAGCCGCGGUAAUACGUAGGUGGCAAGCGUUAUCCGGAUUUAUUGGGCGUAAAGCGAGCGCAGGCGGUUUUUUAAGUCUGAUGUGAAAGCCCUCGGCUUAACCGAGGAAGCGCAUCGGAAACUGGGAAACUUGAGUGCAGAAGAGGACAGUGGAACUCCAUGUGUAGCGGUGAAAUGCGUAGAUAUAUGGAAGAACACCAGUGGCGAAGGCGGCUGUCUGGUCUGUAACUGACGCUGAGGCUCGAAAGCAUGGGUAGCGAACAGGAUUAGAUACCCUGGUAGUCCAUGCCGUAAACGAUGAAUGCUAGGUGUUGGAGGGUUUCCGCCCUUCAGUGCCGCAGCUAACGCAUUAAGCAUUCCG